rnacentral:rRNA from 1 species
AUUGAACGCUGGCGGCAGGCCUAACACAUGCAAGUCGAACGAGUGGCGGACGGGUGAGUAAUGUCUGGGAAACUGCCUGAUGGAGGGGGAUAACUACUGGAAACGGUAGCUAAUACCGCAUACCAUCAGAUGUGCCCAGAUGGGAUUAGCUAGUUGGUGGGGUAACGGCUCACCAAGGCGACGAUCACUAGCUGGUCUGAGAGGAUGACCAGCCACAAUGGAACUGAGAAACGGUCCAGACUCCUACGGGAGGCAGCAGUGGGGAAUAUUGCACAAUGGGCGCAAGCCUGAUCCAGCCAGGCGGCGUGUAUGAAGAAGGCCUUCGGGUUGUAAAGUACUUGCAGCGGGGAGGCGUUACCAGCAGAAGAUGCACCGGAUAACACCGUGCCAGCAGCCGCGGUAAUUC